AACGAACGCUGGCGGCAUGCCUAACACAUGCAAGUCGAACGAGACCUUCGGGUCUAGUGGCGCACGGGUGCGUAACGCGUGGGAACCUGCCCUUAGGUUCGGAAUAACUCCCCGAAAGGGGUGCUAAUACCGGAUAAUGUCUUCGGACCAAAGAUUUAUCGCCUUGGGAUGGGCCCGCGUUGGAUUAGCUAGUUGGUAGGGUAAAAGCCUACCAAGGCGACGAUCCAUAGCUGGUCUGAGAGGAUGAUCAGCCACACUGGGACUGAGACACGGCCCAGACUCCUACGGGAGGCAGCAGUGGGGAAUAUUGGACAAUGGGCGAAAGGCUGAUCCAGCAAUGCCGCGUGAGUGAUGAAGGCCUUAGGGUUGUAAAGCUCUUUUACCCGGGAUGAUAAUGACAGUACCGGGAGAAUAAGCUCCGGCUAACUCCGUG
rnacentral:rRNA from 1 species